rnacentral:rRNA from 1 species
GACGAACGCUGGCGGCGUGCCUAAUACAUGCGAGUAGAACGCUGAAGAGAGAAGCUUGCUCUUCUUGGAUGAGUUGCGAACGGGUGAGUAACGCGUAGGUAACCUGCCUUGUAGCGGGGGAUAACUAUUGGAAACGAUAGCUAAUACCGCAUAACAAUGGAUGACACAUGUCAUUUAUUUGAAAGGGGCAAUUGCUCCACUACAAGAUGGACCUGCGUUGUAUUAGCUAGUAGGUGAGGUAAUGGCUCACCUAGGCGACGAUACAUAGCCGACCUGAGAGGGUGAUCGGCCACACUGGGACUGAGACACGGCCCAGACUCCUACGGGAGGCAGCAGUAGGGAAUCUUCGGCAAUGGGGGCAACCCUGACCGAGCAACGCCGCGUGAGUGAAGAAGGUUUUCGGAUCGUAAAGCUCUGUUGUAAGUCAAGAACGGGUGUGAGAGUGGAAAGUUCACACUGUGACGGUAGCUUACCAGAAAGGGACGGCUAACUACGUG